UACGUAGGGUCCGAGCGUUGUCCGGAAUUACUGGGCGUAAAGAGCUCGUAGGUGGUUUGUCGCGUUGUUCGUGAAAACUCACAGCUUAACUGUGGGCGUGCGGGCGAUACGGGCAGACUAGAGUACUGCAGGGGAGACUGGAAUUCCUGGUGUAGCGGUGGAAUGCGUAGAUAUCAGGAGGAACACCGGUGGCGAAGGCGGGUCUCUGGGCCGUAACUGACGCUGAGGAGCGAAAGCAUGGGGAGCGAACAGG
rnacentral:rRNA from 1 species